GCAGAUUUUAAAAUUUGCACAAGCAGAUCAAGUCUGGUCACAUUUAAAUUAAUAGCACAGAAUGGGAAUAAUUGUGAAAAAAGCUCCCUCCAGAGGCAAGAAAGCAUAAUCAUCUUUUACAUUUAUAACAGCAGUGUGGUUACAAAAUCACACAAUCCCAUGUACCAUGAAACGUUUAUUUUCUAUAACCAAUGAAAUCUUCUGCAUCACCCCAAUACAACACUUGGUUGGGACUUUGAAUUGCCAAUUGACAAAAAUCUCCACCUCUUUUGGUUUAAAUGCUGUUCUGGGCAAAACAACUUGAGGUCUAUUCUCCAGACUCCGGAUAGCCUCCUCUGGUCCUUGAUUCUGGGUUGUGGAAAGGUGGGCAACCUCCUGGAGAAUGAGAGAGAGAUUCUUACCCUGCUCUUUUAGGGUCUCUGGCCCCUCUGGUUUUCCUUCUCUGUCUUUCUGAUCAUUGGGCAUCCUACUGGCUUCUCAUGCAUACCGCAGAUCUCUCUACAUCUCAUUCAUGGUCUGCAUAAGUUUCUGAUUCAAGCUAAGUUAUUUCUGUGUGACACUGGGUAGGAUCUUAGGAAACCUUGCAGGUCGCCUGGCGCCCUUUGCCUGGUUAUGAUACAUAACCAUGCUGGCAUUUCUACCAUGGCAGAGGCGGAACGAAAACAGAUGUAAAUCACGAAGCCCUUGAAUCCUUCAAGUUCAAGUUCUUUGCUUUACCUCUGAUUUCCCCGCUCGUCCCUGGCUCAAAAUAUUUUUACUGUGUUACGGCUAGGGAUUUAACUCAGUGGCACCACACCUGCCUUGCAAGCUCAAGGUCCUGAGUUUGAUCCCAGGUACCAAAAAAAAAAAAAAACAUUUGGUCGGGGAUUUAGCUCAGUGGUUCUGGCGCCUGCCUCGCAAGUGCAAGGCAGGCAUGGUGCCACUGAGCUAAAUCCCUGGCUCUCUCAAUUAUUAUUUAUAAAAUUUAUAGAUCGGCAGUUUUAGGCUUCUAGUUUUUCAUUUUGAAAAUUUUCCUCUCAACUAUUUUCUCUGUCACAAGUUUAAAAUAACAAUUUUUAGGGUCCGGGGAUUUAGCUCAGUGGUUUCACCACCUGCUGCACAAGCACAAGGACCCAAGUUCAAUCCCCAGUACCAAAAACAUUUAUAAAAAUAACAAUUUUUAAAUUAUUAUCAAACAUCAAAUAAUUAUUAUAAAACAUUCAAAGAUACCACUA
rnacentral:lncRNA from 1 species